AUUGAACGCUGGCGGCAGGCUUAACACAUGCAAGUCGAGCGGAGAUGAGGUGCUUGCACCUUAUCUUAGCGGCGGACGGGUGAGUAAUGCUUAGGAAUCUGCCUAUUAGUGGGGGACAACAUUCCGAAAGGAAUGCUAAUACCGCAUACGUCCUACGAGAGAAAGCAGGGGAUCUUCGGACCUUGCGCUAAUAGAUGAGCCUAAGUCGGAUUAGCUAGUUGGUGGGGUAAAGGCCUACCAAGGCGACGAUCUGGAGCGGGUCUGAGAGGAUGAUCCGCCACACUGGGAAUGAGACACGGCCCAGACUCCUACGGGAGGCAGCAGUGGGGAAUAUUGGACAAUGGGGGGAACCCUGAUCCAGCCAUGCCGCGUGUGUGAAGAAGGCCUUAUGGUUGUAAAGCACUUUAAGCGAGGAGGAGGCUACUGAGACUAAUACUCUUGGAUAGUGGACGUUACUCGCAGAAUAAGCACCGGCUAACUCUGUGCCAGCCGCCGCGGUAAAAC
rnacentral:rRNA from 1 species